AUUGAAACACAGAUUCUUAUAUGAUCACCAAAGUUAAGUUACAUCGAGCCUGGCCAGUACCAAGAUGGGUGACCACUUGGGAAUACCAGGUGCUGCAAG